rnacentral:rRNA from 1 species
GAUGAACGCUGGCGGCGUGCCUAAUACAUGCAAGUCGAGCGAACAGACGAGGAGCUUGCUCCUCUGACGUUAGCGGCGGACGGGCGAGUAACACGUGGAUAACCUACCUAUAAGACUGGGAUAACUUCGGGAAACCGGAGCUAAUACCGGAUAAUAUAUUGAACCGCAUGGUUCAAUAGUUAAAGACGGUUUUGCUGUCACUUAUAGAUGGAUCCGCGCCGCAUUAGCUAGUUGGUAAGGUAACGGCUUACCAAGGCGACGAUGCGUAGCCGACCUGAGAGGGUGAUCGGCCACACUGGAACUGAGACACGGUCCAGACUCCUACGGGAGGCAGCAGUAGGGAAUCUUCCGCAAUGGGCGAAAGCCUGACGGAGCAACGCCGCGUGAGUGAUGAAGGUCUUCGGAUCGUAAAACUCUGUUAUUAGGGAAGAACAAAUGUGUAAGUAACUAUGCACGUCUUGACGGUACCUAAUCAGAAAGCCACGGCUAACUACGUG